rnacentral:sRNA from 1 species
AGCAGCCGCGGUAAUUCCAGCUCCAAUAGCGUAUAUUAAAGUUGCUGCAGUUAAAAAGCUCGUAGUUGAAUUUCGGGGUCAGUAGGUCGGUCGUGCCACAGGUAUGCACUGGUCUCACUGAUUCCUCCUUCCUGAUGAACCGUAAUGCCAUUAAUUUGGUGUUGCGGGGAGACUGGACUGUUACUUUGAAAAAAUUAGAGUGUUUAAAGCAGGCUAACGCUUGAAUACAUUAGCAUGGAAUAACGGAAUAGGACGUUCGAUCUUAUUUUGUUGGUUUCUAAGAUUGACGUAAUGAUUAAUAGGGAUAGUUGGGGGCAUUAGUAUUCAAUUGUCAGAGGUGAAAUUCUUGGAUUUAUUGAAGACUAACUACUGCGAAAGCAUUUGCCAAGGAUGUUUUCAUUAAUCAAGAACGAAAGUUAGGGGAUCGAAGACGAUCAGAUACCGUCGUAGUCUUAACCAUAAACUAUGCCGACUAGGGAUCGGAUG